rnacentral:lncRNA from 1 species
UUGUUCCCUCUCUUAUUUAUUUUUUUCUAUUAAUUUUUCAUUUGUGUGGGUACAUAAUGAAUGUAUUUCUCUUGUUAUUUCUGACACAAGAUAAAUCUUAAGUUCGUUUCUACUAUACUUUUAUGAGGUUUCUGCAGGCCUUUAUGACCUUGUGACAAGGGAUUUCUUGGCCAUUGGCUACCAGGCAGCAAGUGGUUCAUCAGUUUCCCAUCUGAAGCUGAAGGGCACAACUGUUUGGAGAUUCCCUGAGUGAGGGGACAUACUCAGAGACCUAGAAGGAGAUUAGGCAGCUCUGCAUAGUACUUGAAAAUAAUUCCUCUUCAUUCCCUAGAUAUCACGCCAUUGCACUCCAGCCUGGGCAACAAGAGUGAAACUCUGCCUC